UGGUGAGGGCAUCAUAUGAUUUAUAUCAGGCGUCUGAAAGCCUGGAAAAGGAGAUAGAUCCUGGUGCUUUGCUAUCCAACAUUAUUUUCCCUUAGGGUUCAGAAAAUCGAAUCUAUGAUUUACCAGAUUGAGGAGGACGGAGUUCGUGGACUUGGAGGCAUCUCUGAUUGCUUUCAUGGAUCGAACCGUUUAUGCCCAACUUCGUAGGAAGUUUGGGGUUGAAAGGACCCUCAAUUGCUGAGCAAGUAGAAGGAAGAGAUUGCUGAGAGCGGCGUUGAUGUAAAGCAUCAUUCUCCAAUAUGGUGGAUAAAAUAUUAAGACUGAACACCAAAAGGAUGGAUCGGAAAUCCCAGAAGUGGUCAGCAUUAUUCCACAUGAAGAUAUGAUGCGCUAUAUAGAAUAUGCUAAGGAAUACCAGCUUUCGAUCUACUCCCCAGAUUAUCAGACCAUUAAACCCAAAAAGAAAGUAAAUUGGUCUCAAAAGGGGAACAUAACUUCAAUUGCUCCAAGGUGAAGUCACUUCUUUUUGUCAGUUCUCAUAAUUUCCUACCAAGUGAGGUGAUGAACGAUCAUGCUGUCCUGGUUGGGCACUACCGGUGGCCCAGAGUUGAUCUGUGCACCUUCCGGCCUAGGGUUUACACGGCAAUUCUAAGAGGAGAACUGCCCGUGGGAUGAUUAUUAACCCUUUGAUUUAAU